rnacentral:lncRNA from 1 species
CUUCCCUUUCAUUCUCUAUACAGUGUAUAUUGCUAAUAAAAAUGAAAACUUUUAUUCUCCUUCUACUAUUAAUUUCUGCAACUCAAGCAAAAGUACUUGUACAAGUGAUUAACCAACUCGAUAAUGGCCGGUGCAUGAACGUACAUUGUCAGUCCAAGGACGACGAUCUUGGGCUUCACUUGGUGGAAGACGGUGGCGACACCACUUGGAGUUUCGAUGUGAAUUUUUGGGGCACAACUUUGUUUUACUGUGAUGUGCAAUGGGAAGACUCAAAAUGGCACCAUUUCGUUGCAUAUGAUGCUAAAAGGGAUUAUAGGAGAUGUCUAUCUCAGUGUAGAUGGAUGAUUGAUAAAGAGGGCUCGUUAUACGGUUAUGAUCAACAAUUUAGUUCAUGGAAAAUGUUUCCAAUGGUAACAGAAUUGAUAGAUUCAACUGUGUAUUGUCCACGAAAAUCAAGUAGAAGGAAAAAUAAUUAAAAUUUUGUUUAAU